UGCAAGUCGAACGGUGAACACGGAGCUUGCUCUGUGGGAUCAGUGGCGAACGGGUGAGUAACACGUGAGCAACCUGCCCCUGACUCUGGGAUAAGCGCUGGAAACGGCGUCUAAUACUGGAUAUGUGACGUGACCGCAUGGUCUGCGUCUGGAAAGAAUUUCGGUUGGGGAUGGGCUCGCGGCCUAUCAGCUUGUUGGUGAGGUAAUGGCUCACCAAGGCGUCGACGGGUAGCCGGCCUGAGAGGGUGACCGGCCACACUGGGACUGAGACACGGCCCAGACUCCUACGGGAGGCAGCAGUGGGGAAUAUUGCACAAUGGGCGCAAGCCUGAUGCAGCAACGCCGCGUGAGGGACGACGGCCUUCGGGUUGUAAACCUCUUUUAGCAGGGAAGAAGCGAAAGUGACGGUACCUGCAGAAAAAGCGCCGGCUAACUACGUGCCAGCAGCCGCGGUAAUACGUAGGGCGCAAGCGUUAUCCGGAAUUAUUGGGCGUAAAGAGCUCGUAGGCGGUUUGUCGCGUCUGCUGUGAAAUCCGGAGGCUCAACCUCCGGCCUGCAGUGGGUACGGGCAGACUAGAGUGCGGUAGGGGAGAUUGGAAUUCCUGGUGUAGCGGUGGAAUGCGCAGAUAUCAGGAGGAACACCGAUGGCGAAGGCAGAUCUCUGGGCCGUAACUGACGCUGAGGAGCGAAAGGGUGGGGAGCAAACAGGCUUAGAUACCCUGGUAGUCCACCCCGUAAACGUUGGGAACUAGUUGUGGGGUCCAUUCCACGGAUUCCGUGACGCAGCUAACGCAUUAAGUUCCCCGCCUGGGGAGUACGGCCGCAAGGCUAAAACUCAAAGGAAUUGACGGGGACCCGCACAAGCGGCGGAGCAUGCGGAUUAAUUCGAUGCAACGCGAAGAACCUUACCAAGGCUUGACAUAUACGAGAACGGGCCAGAAAUGG
rnacentral:rRNA from 1 species